CUGCCUGCCUCGGCCUCCCAAAGUGCUGGGAUUACAGGCAUGAGCCACCGUGCCUGGCCGCUUUGUGCUUUUUGUUUAACUAAAUCUGAACUGUAUUCACAGCACUGUGACACAGCACACAUAAUAUUAAGAGUUUGCUUGUGAACUGCUAGAUUCCAGCAUGCCCACUGAUUGUCCUUUUGAAAAAUGUCAUUUUGUUUUUGAGGAGGUGGGCAAGCUGCAUAGUGGCCCGUCAGAUACAUAUUUUAAAAAACAGAUUGCAUCCAAGAGUGACAGUCAACGUGGAGUCUGUCAUAUAUGAAAAGAUAGCAGUUCAGUUCAGAAGAGGGUCUAAGUAGAAAGAACUUAGCUGUUUCUGCUAUAGAAAAACCUUUCUUACUGGUUAUUUUUCCGAGUGGUGGUCUUUUUGCUUGUGGCUUUGGGGUCUAUCUGGAAGCUUCUUUUCUAUCUUGCCUGAGCUAGAGGAAUGUUGCCCUGCCAUCCCCUCCUAGUCUGAGUUGCCCCGCAUUUUAAAUCACAACUCAUCCUCUGGCGUUCUCUCUGUCCUGGCCCUCAGGGUCUGAAGCAUCAGGAACAGCUCUCUCCUGUUUCAGCUUUCUUGGCACCACUGAGAAAAGCCUCCAAGUGUAAGCCUUGCGACUUGUGUCUUGCUGUACAUGUUGCCCUUUAACCUAGUGGGUGCCAUUUUCCAGGGAUGUCGGGGGGAGAUUUCAUGCACACCUAGGGAGAGCAGAGCCUGCACCUUGUCAUUUGCUGGGGAAUCACUGGCACCUGUGGGCGUUUCUGCCUCUCCUCCAGGGCGGACUGUGGAGAAACACUUGAACUUGGAGAAGCUUAGACUAUUCGGGUGUCAGCCGGGAAGGCCAAGUCAGGGUGAUCAUCUGCCUCAGUUUGGAGUUCACAGGGAGACCCUGCAGGCCCCUGGAUUGGUCACAGACAGUCAAUAAGCCAUUAAAAACAAUAUUUCUCUGGCUGGGCACCAUGGUUCAUGCCUGUAAUUCCAGCACUUUGGGAGCCUGAGGUGGGUGGAUCACUUGAGGUCAGGAAUUUGAGACUAGCCUGGCCAAUAUGGCGAAUCUACUACAAAUACAAAAAUUAGCUAGGCAUGGUGGCAUGCUCCUGGAGUCCCAGCUACUUGGGAGGCUGAGGCAGGAGAAUCUUUGAACCUGGGAGGCGGAGGUUGCAGGGAGCUGAGAUUGCACCACUGCACUCUAUCCUGAGCAAUAGAGUGAGACUCCGUCUCAAAAAAAAACAAACAAAAAAAUUCUCGAGUGAAUGGUCAGUGUCAUCUAUCAUUGGAGAGGGAAAUGCCCCCAGCCAGGAGUUAGGAGUCUGGAGUGCUGGCCCCCUUCUGACACUGACUUGCCGUGUGACCUUGAGUCACUACCCUACUCUGUGUUCUAGCUGUGUGUCUCCAGUGAGGGAUUUGUGCUACAUGACCCUGGAAGUCCUUUCCAGCCCCCUACAUUUGGCCAUUCACUGAAACUCAUUCACUGAAACUCAGAGAGAUUUUGCCUCUCAUCAAGUACAUGUUGCUCAGCAGAUACAGAAAGUCCCUGUUUUCUCUCACACUUGCUGGAAAGAAUCCCUCAGCCCACCAUCUCCUGUCCUGCAUUCCUGGGUCUGCCUCUUCCCUCCACACGCUCGCCCCGUGCUUAGGCCCCCACUCUUGUUCUUGUUUUUGACUCUUUCCUGCCUUCCCUUCCCCACCACAGGAGCAUCACCUUCUUGCCACCACCCCGAAUUUCUCUUUCGUCUUCCCCCUCAGAGGCUGUGGCCUUUUUUCCAUUCAUCCAGAUGGGUUCCUUCUGUUUAGGGACGAGGGACAUCCCCCUCUGAGUGCAGCACCUGGCCCAGGGAGCUCAGAAGAGUCAGCAGAUGGCCUUAUGGGCAGGUGGUCCGGAAAGGGGAGUGAGGAGUCUGACCGCCUGCUCUGCUUCCUUGGCCAGAAUGCUAUGGCAUUUGCACGGAGGCUGUGUGAUGCGAUCUGGCUAUAGAGUGGGGCAUCCAAUGAGCGAACCUCAAGGAAUAAAAGUCAUCAGAGGGGGCAGUGUAUGGUUAGCAUUGUGACCCCCAAAUGCCAUUGCUUUUAUAGCCUGAGAAAAGUACUAACUACUUUUGCAAAUAACCACCUAUGUUUACUGACCUCUGUAGAAUUUCUACUAGCCUGCCUUUCCCCGGGGGAGGGAAUGGUAAUAAUACAGGUGAGGAACUGAGGAAUUUUUAUCCUUUUUCUGUUUGCUGACCAGACGUUCUGCAUUGCUUUAAGUGAGUGAGUGGCUGGGAUUUGCUUUACAGAGAAGGAGGCCUUGCAAAGAGAAAUAGCUUAAUGCCACUUCAUUGGCACCUAAGACCUGCUACUUUCUUUGACUUAAUAUAUUGAGUCCAGAAAGAAAUGCCUGGGGCACUUUGAAAACUUCACAGGCCCACUGCUGCUUGCUGAAAUAAAAAAUUGAAGUGAAUUGGUACAAAAAUCUCCCUCUUCCUCCCAACUCCCCGCCACCCCGCCCCUGGGCACUCCACCCUCCUGGCUUUCUGGCCUUCUCCAGACCAUGUCACCAUGUCACCUGCCCUCACGGGUAAAUCCUCGCCUGCCUCCCUGCUGGCUCUGCGUUUCCCAGGUCACAGGCCCUGGAGACUCCUUUCUGUCUGAAAUGGCGCCGCAUGUAGAGGAAAACACAGCCAAAUAUUCUCGGUUUAAAAAAGGAGAUGGCAUGUCAGCAGCAGAAGAUAAUAUUAUUGCCAUUAAACAGAGCCUGCUAUUGAGAAUCACACAAUGAGAUCUUUAUGAGGCGGACUCAGUGUGGAGCAGGGGGAACGCCCUUUGCCCUUUCCACCCAGUGGUGGGUGGGCAGAGACUGCAGACAUACCCUGCAGGCGGCAUCCAGACCGGCUGAGGGGUUGCGGGGGCGGCCGCAUUGCUGCUUGGGGAAAACCCUACGGACUUCCCAGGGCCUUCAUGGUCAUUUGAGUUCAGGAUCUCAGAGUUUCUAGGAAGCAGCUGGGAACAGUUACCUCUAUUUUAUAGAGGGGAAGACUGAGGCCGGAAGGACAGACACGACUUGCCAACACUUACCCUGUGCGUCGGUGCAGGUGGCCAGGUGUGGAACAUACACCUGUAGCUCUGGCCUCACCGCUUGCCCUGGGGCCACCUUUGCUCUCAGCCUCAGUGGCCUCAUCUGCAAAAUGGGGCAAGUUUUGACAAAGGUGGACUGUGGUGGCAUCACAACAGCAUCUGCCCAGUAGUGAGCACUCCCAUGUGGUAGCUAUUGUCAUUCCAUCCUUGCUGGGUACUGACACCCUCCCAUCUCUUGUACACUGAGCUCUACUCUCCCCCGCAUGGCCGGAGAAACAGGCUGAGCUGCCGUAGGGCUUGACCUGAGUAUUCACUGAGAGCAGGCGCUGUCUAGGCGUGGCUGGCGGACUGUGUGCUUUGUGUGUUGCUUCUGGGGGCGGCAUCUUGAAACAUUACACUUCCUGGGUCCCACCUUACCUGGUUAAAGUAGCAAAUCUGCUGGUGGGGUCUGUGACUCUGUAUUCGAAUCUGGUGCUUGGGGAGCUUUUUGAAAGCAUGACUUUCAGGGGUGCAUGCCGGAUCUGCACACUCUGGAUCUCCAGGGCUUGGGAACCACUGCUCUGAAUGUCAUUUCUGCUCACCUGAACUCCAGGCUCUCUCUAGAGGAGGUGCACCCUCAGGCACAACAUACCCAGCAGGCUUCCUGGUCCCUGGGUAGCACCGCACAGCAGAGAUGGGGACUGGACUCUAGCAGGGAGGAGGAGGGGAGGUGCUGCUGCCGCAGGGCUGGAAGGGGCCCUCCCUCCUGAGUACCAGCCUUGUCACUUCUCCCCUGGCUGUGGCUCCCUGGAUGUGCAUCAGGCACCUCCAUCCAACUGUCCCCAGUUGGACUCCCUGUCUGCUCCUUGCUGCUUUUCCGGUGCCCAGUCCUGGAGAGGGCUCGCUGGAGGUUGUGCUGGCGGUAUCUGCAGAGUCAUCCUAGCAUCUUCAUGUCCUCGUGCUGCCUUGAGUUGCUUUCAUCUCUGUGUUACCUCUUGCACUCAUUCCCUUACCCACACAGAUUUGACUUUUGUCACCUCUUCCUGGAUUUUGGCCCUGUCCUCUGAGGAGUCUUACUGUCUGUCCCCCACCUCCUGCCUCUCGCCAGGCUGUUUUUCUGGUGCAGCUUUCAUUGUGCCGCCUUCUUCCUCUGAAGCCUUCAGUGACUCCCUCUUGCUCAGAGAAUCAGCCCAAGUGUCAGAACCCUCCACGACGCGGCCUAUUCCUGCUGCCCCAGCCCAGACUUGCAUUGUCAUCUCAGCCAGGGAUGCCCUCCCUUUCUUUCCCUGCUUCUAGAAGCUUCAUCACCCUUGGUGGCCCAGCCUGGGUGCUUCCCAUUCACUGAUCUCCUGUGAUCUGUGGCUGCUGUGUGGCCUCUUCGCAAACGUUGGGCUUUUAUCCCACAGCCCAGGUGGCAUUCAGCCUUGCGUGUGGUUCAAUCAAGGCCCCUCUGUCUCUUACAUUUUCCUAUUUCCUGCCGCCUGGGCAGCCUCACUCCUCAGAGGCACUCUGUUAAUGCCCAUGGGUGAAUGAAUGAGUGAGUGAAUGAAUGAAUGACUGAAUACACUGACGAUACUUGAUAUCCUGCUUCCUCUGAGUGAUGCCAAGAGACUUAGUGUCACAAGGAGGGAGGAGGGUUUAGGUAUCCGACGUGGACUGUGUUCACCCUGAUGGAAGCUGUCGCUUGCUCAGCAGUGGCUCCCUCUGCAGCCCCAGCUCCCUGAGUCCCUGUGGUCAGAUCUGGUCAUGGUGGGGGAGGGUGGCAGAAAGAGGAAGCCGAGAGCCCAGGCAUGGCCUGUGGUUGUGGAUGGGACAGCUCCCUCUGUCUGGGCUGUUCUUCAGAAGAGGGUGGGAACAGCAGCUCUCUCAUUGGUCCUCUUGCGAGAAAGCCUGCUCUCCAAGUACAGAGGGUCACAACAUGGAGAAAUCACAUGGUCCCAGCACCACAGUGGACCCAGCAGUCAUUCCCCCAGUGCCUUGGGCUUGUCCCGGCUCUUCCUACUGAGCCUCCCCAUGGAGGCAGGAGGGCUGGGAGGAAGGUGAGGUGGCUUCCUGAAGGGACGUGGCUCCUGAAUGUCACUGCGGUACAUCCACGGCUUGUCAUUUGUUCAUCCAUGUGGCAUGUGGGUUGCUCCCUCCUUAUGGCGAGUACACACGUGUGAACGCAUGCACACACUGUAAUAUGGAUGUGUCUGUAAUUGAUACUUUGAUUAUUCCCUUUGCAGCACUCAUUUGACUCGGGUUAGAAAGUGUUUACAAAAACGCCCGACCACAUCAGACCCAAGUUUCAAAGUCCAGGACCAAAGUUGUUGCCACAAAAUCUGCCUGUGGCCUGGCGAUUAGAAAGCCACGUUAUCCAAUGGGCCAUUGGUGUGGGCUGGUUCUCUGUGCUCCUCCCCUUGUCCCCUCAGUCUCCACAUGGUUGAGGUCACACAUUUCUCCUAAGGACACGGGUGCCCUCUGCAAGCAGAUGCCGGGAGCCUGGGUCCACUCAGGUGUCACUGCGUGAAUCUCGGCCUUGAACGGCUGGACUGGAAGAAUCCAUCCACCCUCAGGUGUCACUGCGUGAAUCUCGGCCUUGAACGGCUGGACUGGAAGAAUCCAUCCACCCUCAGGUGUCACUGCGUGAAUCUCGGCCUUGAACGGCUGGACUGGAAGAAUCCAUCCACCCUCAGGUGUCACUGCGUGAAUCUCGGCCUUGAACGGCUGGACUGGAAGAAUCCAUCCACCCCCUUGGCAUAGUUUGGGCCGAUCUAAUGCCUGGCACUGAGCAGAGCGGAGGGAUCUCCUAAUGCCUGGUGCGGUACAGGGGAAGGAUGGCGGAGCAUCCUCAGAGACAGCACAGCUCUUCCCAAAGGUCCAGCACGCACACUUUACCGAAUGCUUUUCUUGUGAAGGGAGUCAUUGGGUUGGGCUAGCCAGGUAGGCUGGGUAGGCCUGUGGGGGUUAGGAACUUCUAGGCCCUUCCAGAAGCAAGGGCAUCCCCAAGUGGGUGUCUAGACUCUGUUUCGUGGACAUUGUGGCAGUUAUCAUACUGUCCCAGGGUUUCUUGCCCCCACCUGGCCCUGGGAGCUGGCAGUUACAGUGCUGGAAAUGAGCCUGACUCACUGGGGUGGUGAUCUUCCACCCCUUCAGGUGCCCUCAUCCCAGUUCCUACUCUGCCUAUGGGUGUUUUACAUGGAGAGUCACAGCACUGGGGGUUUCCCAGAGCCUAGACUCUGACUUGCCCUAAAGCUGGGUCACACAGACUAUUGGGAACUUCCUGUCGAUCCUGCUGGCCUGAUUGACAGCUGGAACCGGGAGUGGAGGUGGGGCCCAUGGGAAUGCUAGGCUCCAGCAAGUUCUGCCUGACCUUUGGAUGUGAGGGUCAGGCAUUCAGUGGUCGGGUCUCAGGGUUCCUUAUUGCUAGAUGAAAGCUUCCACGACACACAUGUGUCUAAGUGUGCCCUUGUCCUAUGUCCUGGCUGAGUGAGUUGGGCAGAGACUUCUGAGGACAGCGAUCGUGGCCUCUCCAUUUUCCUAAGGCCCCUGCAUGCCUGGAGCUGGCUGUGGGGGCAGCCAGAGAAGCUGCCCAAUGAGUCUGAUGGGAGCCAGACCCGUUACUCCUUCUACUCAUGAUAGCUUUAGCAUUGUUGUCCCGGGGCAACCCUUUCUCAUGUGAAACCUUGCGUGGAACCCCCUCCACCUGAGAUAUGAGACUGAUGAAUGCAGAACUGCUCUGGUUGGAAUGGUGGGUGGCAGGUGGGCUGUGGGGGAGUCCAGAUCCUCUCCGCUUUCUCUUUGUCAUCCCCCCAUGGCAGCCCCUCUGCCUCUGGAGAAUCCCAGAGCUUGGGGAAGCACAGGAUGGAAACCAACCCAUCCUGGCACUGCCUCCCCCUCUGCCCACCUCCCCUGCAAAGCUUGCAAUGCGAUUGGUCCUGGUGUAGCCUCCGUGUUGAGUUGUAGGGGAAAGGGUGUUUAGUAAGCAGGCAUAUACCCACGGAGUCGCUUAAGAAAACACCUAACCACACUGUAAGUUUUUAGUAGUUUCGUUUAAUAUCCCUCUCUCUGUUCAAGACAGGAACCAGGGUAGAGCACCUGUUUCAUUUUCCCUGCCUAGGUUUGGGUUGGUUUUCUUAGCUUUUUAUGACAGCCCAUAAUAGGUGAGCAUUCUGCCCUUUUUAAAAAAAUUAAUGGUGCAGAGAGUUUUAUUUAUUUAUUUUUUAGAAACGGUGUCUCACUCUAUCACCCAGGCUGUAGUGCAGUGUUGCGAUCAUAGCUCACUGCGGCUUUGAACUUCUAGGUUGAAACAAUCCUCUUGUCCCAGUAGUUGGGACUGUAGGUGUGCACCACUACACCCGGCUAAUUUUUUACUUGUUAGUAGAGAUGGGGUCUUGCUAUGUUGCCCAGGCUGGUCAUGAACUCUUGGCCUCCGUUGAUCCUCCUGCCUUGGCCUCCCAAAGUGCUGGGAUUACAGGCGUGAGCCACUGUGCCUGUUUGGUACAUUAGUUUUUUUUUUUUUGUUUUUUUUUUUUUAUUAAGACGGAGUUUUGCUCUUGUUGCCCAGGCUAGAGUGCAAUGGCGCAGUCUUGGCUCACUGCAACCUCCACCUCCCAGGUACAAGCCAUUCUCCUGUCUCAGCCUCUCAAGUAGCUUGGAUUACAGGCAUGCACCAACAUGCCCAGCUAAUUUUUUUUGUAUUUAGUAGAGAUGGGGUUUCACCAUGUUAGUCAGGCUGGUCACGAACUCCUGACCUCAGGUGAUCCACCCGCCUCGGCCUCCCAAAGUGCUGGGAUUACAGGCAUGUCCCACUGUGCCCGGCCGGUACAUUAGUUUUAAAGGGAAGAUUGACUGUGGGUGGCCAAGGGAUUUGUGUUUUCUGACUUAACCAUCCAUGGCUCUGACCCCAAGUCACCCAUUAAGGGCUGUUUCUCCCUUUUUUUUUCCUCUUCCUCCCCAAGCUGACCUUUCUCUCUUCUUAAGAAGUGAUUACUGAUUUCUUUAGGUUUUGAGGGUUCUGUCUUUGACUCUCCGUGAUUGUUGGGUGAAGCCAUUUGCUUAAAUUCCUUGCUUUUAGAGCGUCUUAACUGCCAUGGUAAUGAUAAAGGGGAGUGACAGUGAGUAGAAAUUAGAGUUCUUUCUGGUUAACCCAUUUGGGAGGUAGCUUUCUUUGAAUAUGACUAAGUGUUCCCCCUAAUGACAGAGAGGAUGUUGCUGGGGGUUGGGUCGCGGUGGCUGAGGCUGCUGUCCAGUUAAGAGAAUUUUGCAAUGAACUAGGGCAGUGGUUUAAAAACCUUGACUGCACAUUAGAAUCCCCUGGGGAGUUGUAACAAAAUGCAGAGACCAGACCUUCUGACUUAAUUGUUCUAGGUGGGCCUGGCAUUGGUCGUUUUGAAAGCCUCAAGGUGAUAGCUGGGAUUAAGAAUCAUGGAUCCCAGUGCUUGUUCUGAUAGUUGGACUUCUGUUGAAACCGAAUGAAUGUCUGCCAAGAUUUUCCGAAACCCAGAGCUGCCCUCUGCUCCCUGCUUUGUCCUGUCCUCUUCACGAAGGGAGUGGGAUCACACUGUUGCUAUCUGGCCAGGGUGGAGUCUACAGCCAGAUGCUCCCCAGAAGCUUAACCAUGGAGGGGCUGAGCUAAUUGUCACCAGAAAGAGCCUCCUCCUUCAGUUGCUGUCCUUGGUGUUCGGGAAGGUUUUACUUGGCUAAUUCCCUAAAAGGGCACUGGUUAGGACUUGGAGUAAGUGGUGAUGAGCAAGAGCAGGGCUGGCUGGUGGGACAGGGUGGGUGCCGGGGGCAGAGGGGAACUGGAAUGUGGACUGCUGUCCCCAGCCUGUGGCCACCUGCUGUGCUGGUUUCCCUGAGAAAACCCUACUGUCUUUAGGUUGAAUCUGUAGUGUUUAUGACCUAAUCACUCUCUAAUGAUAGGUCAGGACUGGAAUCUUUCCUUGUGGGGAGCCUGUGAGACAAAAAUCAAAAGGGCCUGAUAAUAACAUAGAAUCAUGGACUCUUAAGGCAGCCAUUCACCUCCUUCCCAGCCCCGCUCCCACAGCUGGGCACGGUUUAUUGGACCAGGCUUCAGAGGAUGGGAUUGUAAGUAACUCAACAGGACAGGAUGGGAGCGCUCCAAGAAUCAGAUCUAAGUUUAACUUCCCUUUCUAGUGCUUUCUGUCUGAGCGUGAUCAUCCUAAUGUGUUUCUAGAUGGCUAUUUCCACAUGUGUAAAGUGGAGACAAUCAAUUCUUAUGUCUUACGACUAUGGAAAAAGUGAGUUUUUUUGUGCCAUACUAUUUGAAAGUAAUCAUUGUGACACCUUUGGAACAAGUGUGAAAAGAUCUCCCUCUCUCUCUCUCUCACACCUGUCUGUAUCCAUCUUUAUCUUUUUAUCAUCUAUCUCUAUCUAUCUAUUAAUAUAUAUUUAUCUAUCUAGCAUGACCUGGGAUAGGUGAAUUCUAUAGCCAGGUGGCCUCCAGAAGCUUACGAAAUGAUCGUCUACCAAAUCUACCAUCUAUCUAUUUCCCUACCUACCUAUCAUUUAUCUAAUCUAUCUAUAUAUUGAUAUAUAUCUAUCUGGUCUAUAUCUAUCUUGAUAUGACAUCUGUCUGUACCUAUGGUCUAUCAUCUCUAUUUAAUCCAUCGUCUCUAUAUCUAUUGAUUAUCACUUAUCUGUUUUACUUAUCCUAAUCUAUCAUUAAUCUAUCAUCUUUCUAAUCUAUCUGUAUAUAUCUAUUGUUUAUCUAAUCUAUCAAUUGACCAUUCAUCUGUUCAUCUUUCAUAUACCAAAGAUGCAGUUGCAUGCCACCUGAUUCCAGAUGGGUUAUCUCACUUCACUGUCACUUAGUGAGAUCAGGAAGAAGUCUCAAGGAUUGUUUCAACUUCAAGCCUAUGUACAUGAGUUUGCGUUUUGAACAUAGCAGGAAAAACAACGAUGUAUAAGAAGCUUUCUUAUUGGCUGGGCAUGGUGACUUAUGCCUGUAAUCCCAGCACUUUGGGAGAUUGAGGUGGGAGGAUCACUUGAAGGCGCCAGGAGUUCAAGACCAGCCUGGGCAGCAAAGUGAAGCCUUGUCUCUACCAAAAUCAAUCAAUCAAUCAAUCAAUCAAUAACUAAAAAUAAAAAUAAAAAAUUAGCUGGGCGUGGUGACACAUACCUGUAGUCCUAGCUGCUUGGGAGGCUGAGGUAGGAGGAUUGCUUGAGCCCCAGAGUUUGAGGGUGCAGUGAGCUAUGAUUGUGCCACUGCACUUCAGUCUGGGAGACAGUGAGACCCCAUCUUAAAAAAAAAGGUAUAAUGUAGCUUAUAGGGCUUAUAAUCCUGUAAGAAGACUUCUUAUGCAAGAAAAUAAAAAUUUUACUUUUCGCUAUUUUUUUUUUCCUCCUCCAAA